ACCUCUGAGCCAAUCAAAAAACUAUUUCUUCCAAAGAGCCACUCUUACUGUUUCUCAUGGUUAGAAGACAAUAUUUGCUUUCUCUUUUUCAUUUCUUCCAGAUGAAAGGCUAAGCCGUAAUAGAAAGAAUGGAGAACUAUUGAUUGACCAUCUUUAUUCUGUGGGCUCUGAUUCUCCCAUGGGAACACCAAGGGAUGGUUUUCCAUACUGGAACUCAAAGGUAAAGACACUCAAGGACAGACAUUUUUGGCAGAGGUAAGAUGUUCUUCAGUUACCAUACUUGAGUUAGCCCUGGGGAAGUGGACGUUUCCACGCAGAAUCCUAUAGCUUCUUCCAGGCCACAGUGUCUGUCUCACACCUUCUAGUGUCUCUUGAUAUGCAGCAUAGAUGAAAAUGGCAAGUUCCCUGGCCUUCCUUCUGCUCAGCUUUCAUGUCGCCUUCUUCUUGGUCCAGCUGCACACUCCUUGCUCAGCUCAGUUUUCUGUGCUUGGACCCUCUGGGCCCAUACUGGCUAUGGUGGGUGAAGACGCUGAUCUGCCCUGUCACCUGUUCCCGACCAUGAGUGCAGAGACCAUGGAGCUGAGGUGGGUGAGUUCCAGCCUAAGGCAGGUGGUGAACGUGUAUGCAGAUGGAAAGGAAGUGGAAGACAGGCAGAGUGCACCGUAUCGAGGAAGAACUUCGAUUCUACGGGAUGGCAUCACUGUAGGGAAGGCUGCUCUCCGAAUACACAAUGUCACAGCCUCUGACAGUGGAAAGUACUUGUGCUAUUUCCAAGAUGGUGACUUCUAUGAAAAAGCCCUGGUGGAGCUGAAGGUUGCAGCACUGGGUUCUAAUCUUCAUGUUGAAGUGAAGGGUUAUGAGAAUGGAGGGAUCCAUCUGGAAUGUAGGUCCACUGGCUGGUAUCCCCAACCCCAAAUACAGUGGAGCGAUGCCAAGGGACAGAACAUCCCAGCUGUGGAAGCACCUGUGGUUGCAGACGGAGUGGGCCUAUAUGCAGUAGCAGCAUCUGUGAUCAUGAGAGGCGGCUCCGGGGAGAGUGUAUCCUGCAUCAUCAGAAAUGCUGUCCUUGGCCUGGAAAAGACAGCCAGCGUUUCUAUCGCAGACCCCUUCUUCAGGAGUGCCCAGCCCUGGAUCACAGCCCUGGCAGGGACCCUGCCUAUCUUGCUGCUGCUUCUUGGUGGAGCCAGUUACUUCUUGUGGAGACAACAUAAGGAAAUAACUGCUUUAUCCAGUGAGAUAGAAAGCGAGCAAGAGAUGAAAGAACGGGGAUAUGCUGCAACAAAGCAGGAAAUAAGCUUAAGAGAGAGCCUCCAGGAGGAACUCAGUAAGUUUUCCCAUUCCCCCAGAGACCCGGGCAUGUCUUCCUAUCCCGGCUUUGAGCACCUUGAUGACUCUUCCCUGUUCAUUCCAUUGCAGAGAGGAGAAAAAUCCAGUACUUGACUCGUGGAAAGGAGUCUUCGUCUGAUACUGAUAAGUCAGCCUGAUGCUCUAAUGGAAAAUGGCCCUCUUCAAAUCUGGGCUUCCCACUGGCCAAACCCAACAGCAAACCAGAGGACAAGGGAGCCCAGUGGCACUGUUCUUAAAGGACAGGUUCCUGGGGCCAGAAGAAGGUGAAGAAAGCUGAAGGGUAGAGAGUGAAUCUGGGGCAUAUAAGGCCCCACAUAGAGCCCAGCACAGAGACUGCCUUGCAGCUAUUAGAAGAUCAGAAGCUUCCUUCAUGCCCUGCUGUGGGCUGAGUACAUAACAUCAUUGCCUUAUACAACGCUAGAGAUUCGUGUUUUAAUCUGAUUUUUCAGAGCAACUUCAAGAAGAAUUGCGUAAAUUUAGCCUUUCCUGAACUACUCCAUGUACAAUUUGAGUUCUGCUCAGUUAGCAAUAUCUCAUGACAUUCACCUCUGUCUGUCCCUUAAAGAUGGAGAAGAACAUUCUUAUAUGCUGGUGAAUUUCAAAAUUGCCACUGUCAACUUGGGACAAAACAGCAAAAUGUCACAACCAGAUAUUUCACCAUGGAGAAUAGAGGAAAUCAUUUUAACACAAUAGAAAGGUAAACUGAAUGAGAAUAAAUGCAGAUGGGAGAAGCUUGCAGAAUGCCCAGAGCCUGGAGUGUUUCUCGCACUGACUGACAGGAAAUGGACCUAGCCACUGGGGAAGCUGAGACAGGAGAAUUGCUUGAACCCAGGAGGCGGAGGUUGCGGUAAACCAAGAUCACCCAUUGUACUCCAGCCUGGGCAAUAAGAGUGAAACUACGUCUCAAAGAAAACAAAAACAAAAACAAAAAACCCUGCAGCUUCAGUAACUCUCAGGGUAUGAGCUGCCUGGGAUCAGGUGGCCUUCGUGGAAAUGGCCCCUUCACGGGGAUUCCCCUGUAGUUUUCUGAGACUUUUCUGGGGACCAGGAACCACACAAUCCCGAGGGUUCCUGAGACCCAAGGCCUAAACCUGAGAAUUCCUCUGCAGCCAGUGUGGUCCUGCACACAGACACUGCUCAUCUCGAUCUCUUAUCAGAUGACCAAGGAAGUGUGACAUUGGCUCCCUCCAGGGAGAGCGGGCUGUAUAACCCAGAGAGAUUUCAACAGUCAGCUUUGUGUCCUGGCCGGGAGAGCUUCGCCUCAGGGAAACAUUACUGGGAGGUGGAGGUGGAAAAUGUAAUUGAGUGGACUGUGGGGGUCUGUAGAGACAGCGUUGAGAGGAAAUAGGAUGUCCUGCUACUUCCUCAGAAUGGCUUCUGGACCUUGGAGCUGUAUGAAAGCAAAUACUGGGCCCUGACCUCUGCUAAGUCGAUUCUCUCUCUGAAUGAGCCCCUUUGCCGGUUGGGCGUCUUCCUGGAGUAUGAAGUUGGAGACGUCUCCUUCUACAACAUGAGGGACAGAUCUCACAUCUGCACAUUUCCCCGUUCAGCCUUUUCCAGGCCCCUGAAGCCAUUCUUCAAGUUACAGUCUUGUGACAGCUGCAUCUUCAUCUGCUCCGCAUUCAUGUGCGAUCAUGAUGCCUGAAGAGGCCUGACAGUUCACAGAUCGGGGACCCACCAUGGCCCACAGAAUCAGUUCCCUGGUCUCACAGCCGUGGAGGCAAGCCCUGGCCAUCUCAGUAGCCACUGCAUAAUGCCCCUGGUGGAAGACAUGCCCUCCUCCCCUCUGGUCACACAAGAGAACAUCUUCCAGCUGCCUCUUUCACACCCAGUCCAGACCUCAGCCCCUGUUCACUCCUCACUAGGCUGUAGCUUUAGUAAUUCCUUUGCUUGUAACUAUGGGAUGGCAUCCAGUGUUAGAAAUAAAUGCUCAGUGCCCCAAAGAAGAGUCAGCACUCUGGCAAAAAGCUUUCUCAGCUAGGCAAUUUACUUCUGCAGAAGGGUGCUGCUUGCAAGUCUGGUCACCACAAGAAUACACCAAACAAAGAGGGAAAGAAUUUUUAUUCCUAAUGCUGCUUGUCCCAGCUUCUGUGUUCAGUCACCACUCACCAGAGUUGGACCACACAAUCUAAGCCGAACCUGAUUAGCUAACUUGAAAGGGGCAGGGGUGUGGUUACACUGGUUGGAAGGUCAGUUUCUGUGGGAAGAGCCAUUGCAACGGGAGGGGUAAUUUACAGAGUGAGUAGCAGAUGUGGGCUCUGUAGGUAAGGAUCAGUGGAAAAGUUGUUUACUGAAACUAAGACAGGGAGACAUAAAGGAUAACGAGGUUAGUUUGGCCUUAUAAGUAGGGAACAAAGAACAAGGGCACUGAACAAGCCAAACCUUUGAAGAGGAACUUCUUUUAUAUCUGACAUCCAGGCAUAGGGAACUAGGUGUUACACAGCUCCCAGCCAGGAAGAAAGUGUGAGAAGCUGAUUGGCAGUGAACUUGCUGUUUAACAUCAGGAUGGCGACAUUGAGCCCAAUAUGCCAGUUGGCACCAGAUGCUGUGGAUUUGGAAUGAGGCCAGCAGGGGUCACCAGGAUGUGAGAAGAGAGAAGAAUCCACAGGACCACCAGAGGGAAGAGGGAAACAGAUACGCAGGUCAGAGAUAGAAGAGGUAGAACCAGAGAGCUGGGAGGGAGCAAGGUUGUGACGGUGGUUAAGCCCCACCAUAACAGCUAAGGGGUCCUGGGAUAUGAUGGCUCAUUUCCACCCAACCCCAGGAUUUCCAGAGCACACACCCACAGGCCUGGACCUGGGACGAAGAUGAAUGAAGAACAUGGACUCAUGUGGAUGUGAUUUGGCUCCUGUGUCCCUGCAAUAAACAAGGAGUCAGUAGUUAGUCCUUGAGUGUGGUUGAGGUUUGAGGUCCUGGUGGAGCAGAGUAGUACUGGACCAGGUCUAUGUCAGCAUUCAGGUUCAAUGAGGGCACCAGUGGCUUCAAACUUCCCGGUCUAAUUAUGUCUUAAGACACUUAAUAGCUACUGAGGGCCUUGAGGAGCUUUUGUUUAUUUGGGUUGGUAUUUGUUAAUAUUUACGGCAUUUAUGAUUGAAACAGAAAAUGUUAAAAUGUAGCUUACUAAUUCAUGUUAAAAUACCAUGAAUGCACCAAUUACAGGUUAAUAUAAAUAGAAUGAUUUGUGAAAAAAAUCAACUAUUGUUUCUAAACAAAAGAACAAGAAGUGUGACAUUGGUUAACUUUUUCCAAAUCUAAUGUCUGGCUUCAUAGAAGACAUUUGUAUUCUCAUAUCUGCUUUUGUAUUAAAUCUAUUGGUAUAUCACAGGUUAUAUAGGCCCCCAAAAACCUUAUUGUACCCUACCAAGAGAAUGAAAUCAUAAACAAAAAAUGUUAUAUUAUUAAUAUUAUAAUGAAAAUAGUAUUAACAUUGGGGGCUCCUUAACAGUAUAUCAGAGAUCACCCUAGGAAUCCCCAGACCAUAUUUGGAAACUAGAAUAGUGGAUCCUGGAAGUUAAUCCAUGUGCUGGUUAAUUUUAGAUGUCAACUUGACUGGAUUAAGAAUACCUAGACAACUGAUACAACAUUAUUUCUGGGUGUGUCUGUGAAUGUGUUUCCAGAAUGCUGACCUCCAGAAGAGAUUGGCAUGUAUGUCAGUGGGAAAUUCUCCCUUCCUAUUGGCUGAAGGCCCAACAGAACAAAAGUCAGAGGAAAGACAAAUUCUUCUCUCCCCUGAGACAUUUUUCUUCUUCUGCCCUUGGGCAUCAGAACUCCUGCCUUUCCAGCCUUUCAGCUUCGGAAGUUGUACCAGGAUGCCCUGGGUUCUCAGGUCUUUCGGUUCGGACUGAGAUUUACACAAUCGGCGUCCCAGUUCUGAGGCUUUUGAACUUAAACUGAACCAUGCUACCAGCAUCCCAAGGUCUCCAGCCUACAGACGAGCUGUCAUGGGAUUUCUCAGCCUCCAUAAUCACAUGAGAAAAUUUCCCUAAUAAACGCUCACUCAUACAUA